ACCAAAACCCCCCAAAAAA
rnacentral:sRNA from 1 species